UACGUAGGGUGCGAGCGUUAAUCGGAAUUACUGGGCGUAAAGCGUGCGCAGGCGGUUUGUAAGUCUGUCGUGAAAGCCCCGGGCUCAACCUGGGGAAUUGCGAUGGAGACUGCAAGGCUUGAAUCUGGCAGAGGGGGGUAGAAUUCCACGUGUAGCAGUGAAAUGCGUAGAUAUCUGGAGGAACACCGGUGGCGAAGGCGGCAUCCUGGACCAACACUGACGCUGAGUGAGCGAAAGCCAGGGGAGCAAACGGG
rnacentral:rRNA from 1 species